rnacentral:rRNA from 1 species
UACGUAGGUGGCAAGCGUUGUCCGGAAUCACUGGGCGUAAAGAGCUCGUAGGCGGCUUGUCGCGUCGUCCGUGAAAACCUGGGGCUCAACCCCAGGCUUGCGGUCGAUACGGGCAGGCUCGAGUUCGGUAGGGGAGACUGGAAGUUCCUGGAUGUAGCGGUGAAAUGCGCAGAUAUCAGGAGGAACACCGUGGCGAAGGCGGGCUCUGGUCCAUUACUGACGCUGGAGGUGACGAAAGCGUGGGGAGCAAACAGG